rnacentral:ncRNA from 1 species
CAGUACAAACUGAGCAGGCGAUGUCCGCAUGGGCAUGGGGCCGGGCCGCUUAUCGCGGCAGCAGAUGUUUUUCCAAGCAUCUGUGGGACAGU